rnacentral:rRNA from 1 species
UACGUAGGGGGCAAGCGUUGUCCGGAUUUACUGGGUGUAAAGGGCGUGUAGGCGGGAAGAUAAGUCAGAUGUGAAAUGCUGGGGCUCAACCCCAGAACUGCAUUUGAAACUGUCUUUCUUGAGUGUGGGAGAGGGAAGCGGAAUUCCUAGUGUAGCGGUGAAAUGCGUAGAUAUUAGGAGGAACACCAGUGGCGAAGGCGGCUUUCUGGACCAUAACUGACGCUGAGGCGCGAAAGCGUGGGGAGCGAACAGG